rnacentral:rRNA from 1 species
CCUACGGGUGGCAGCAGUGAGGAAUAUUGGUCAAUGGGCGGAAGCCUGAACCAGCCAAGUAGCGUGCGGGAGGAAGGCGCUACGGGUCGUAAACCGCUUUUGCACGGGGAUAACAGCCCCCACUUGUGGGGUUCUGCAGGUGCCGUGCGAACAAGGGUCGGCUAAUUCCGGUCCAGCGGCCGCGGUAAUACGGAGAGCACGCGCGUUAUCCGGAUGCAUUGGGCUUAAAGGGGGCGUAGGCGGGCGUGCAAGUCAGCGGUAAAAUGGCGCGGCUCAACCACGCCCAGCCGUUGAAACUGGGCGCUUUGAGUGCGCCGCAGGCAGGCGGAAUUCGUGGUGUAGCGGUGAAAUGCAUAGAU